rnacentral:rRNA from 1 species
UACGGAGGGUGCGAGCGUUGUCCGGAAUCAUUGGGCGUAAAGGGCGCGUAGGUGGCCCGGUCAGUCUUUGGUGAAAGCGCGGGGCUCAACCCUGCGUCGGCCAGGGAUACUGCCGCGGCUCGAGCACUGUAGAGGCAGGCGGAAUUCCGGGUGUAGCGGUGGAAUGCGUAGAUAUCUGGAGGAACACCGGUGGCGAAGGCGGCAUCCUGGACCGGUAUUGACGCUGAGGCGCGAAAGCCAGGGGAGCAAACGGG